rfam:Streptomyces swartbergensis strain HMC13 scaffold42.1, whole genome shotgun sequence.
GCGCCGUCCCGAGCGGCGUUCAGUGGCUCGAACGGGCCAGUGAGGCGGGGGUGGUGCCGUGUCGGCGCAGCACCACCCCCGCUUC